UACGUAGGGUGCAAGCGUUGUCCGGAAUUAUUGGGCGUAAAGAGCUUGUAGGCGGUUUGUCGCGUCUGCUGUGAAAUUUCGGGGCUCAACCCCGAACUUGCAGUGGGUACGGGCAGACUAGAGUGUGGUAGGGGAGUCUGGAAUUCCUGGUGUAGCGGUGAAAUGCGCAGAUAUCAGGAGGAACACCGAUGGCGAAGGCAGUUCUCUGGGCCGUAACUGACGCUGAGGAGCGAAAGCGUGGGGAGCGAACAGG
rnacentral:rRNA from 1 species